AUGUGGUCAUGCCUAAAGCUUCCUUCAAGACUCAACACCCUUUUGAGAAAAGGCAGGAUGAAUCUAUUUCGCAUUAGAGACAAACAUCUUGAUAGAGUACCUGUGAUUGUGGAGAAAGUCGGAAGAAGUGACAUUAUAGACAUUGAUAACAAGAGGUACCUUGUUCCAGCUGACUGGUUUGUUGGUCCAUUUGCUUAUGUCACCUACAAAAAAAUUAAGCUCAAUACAGAGAAGGACGAGGGUGGUUUUCUUUACAUGACUUGCGGUAGAGAGAAUACCUUUGGAUGCCAGUAG